rnacentral:misc_RNA from 1 species
GAUGAAGAACGUAGCGAAAUGCGAUAAGUAAUGUGAAUUGCAGAAUUCAGUGAAUCAUCGAAUCUUUGAACGCGCCUUGCAGUCCUUGGUAUUCCGAGGAGUACGCCUGUUCGAGUGUUAUGAAGCUCUCAAAACGCAAUUGGCUUAAAACCUGAUUGUUGUUUUGGAUUUGAACUUUGCCGUGUUAUAACGGCUGGUUUUAAAAGUAUUAGCUGGUACUAGAACGAAUUGGUUCUACUCAACGUGAUAAUUAUCUGAUCGUUGAGGACAUUCCUUUCACGAGGAAUGGCCAUAGUAAAUUCAAUGGACUGCUUCUAAUCUGGCUUUAAUUCUUUAUUGGAUUAACCACUUUUCAAAUCUGACCUCGAAUCAGGUGGGACUACCCGCUGAACUUAAGCAUAUCAAUAAGCGGAGGA